ACGGGUGAGUAAUGCCUAGGAAUCUGCCUGGUAGUGGGGGAUAACGCUCGGAAACGGACGCUAAUACCGCAUACGUCCUACGGGAGAAAGCAGGGGACCUUCGGGCCUUGCGCUAUCAGAUGAGCCUAGGUCGGAUUAGCUAGUUGGUGAGGUAAUGGCUCACCAAGGCGACGAUCCGUAACUGGUCUGAGAGGAUGAUCAGUCACACUGGAACUGAGACACGGUCCAGACUCCUACGGGAGGCAGCAGUGGGGAAUAUUGGACAAUGGGCGAAAGCCUGAUCCAGCCAUGCCGCGUGUGUGAAGAAGGUCUUCGGAUUGUAAAGCACUUUAAGUUGGGAGGAAGGGCAUUAACCUAAUACGUUAGUGUUUUGACGUUACCGACAGAAUAAGCACCGGCUAACUCUGUGCCAGCAGCCGCGGUAAUACAGAGGGUGCAAGCGUUAAUCGGAAUUACUGGGCGUAAAGCGCGCGUAGGUGGUUUGUUAAGUUGGAUGUGAAAUCCCCGGGCUCAACCUGGGAACUGCAUUCAAAACUGACAAGCUAGAGUAUGGUAGAGGGUGGUGGAAUUUCCUGUGUAGCGGUG
rnacentral:rRNA from 16 species